rnacentral:rRNA from 1 species
CGCGUGAGGGAGGACGGCUUUUGGGUUGUAAACCUCUUUUAUCAGGGAAGAAUCGAUGACGGUACCUGAUGAAUCAGCAUCGGCUAACUCCGUGCCAGCAGCCGCGGUAAUACGGAGGAUGCAAGCGUUAUCCGGAAUUAUUGGGCGUAAAGCGUCCGUAGGUGGUUUAUCAAGUCUGCUGUCAAAGCGUGCGGCUUAACCGCAUAAGGGCAGUGGAAACUGAUGAACUAGAGUGCGAUAGGGGUAACAGGAAUUCCCAGUGUAGCGGUGAAAUGCGUAGAUAUUGGGAAGAACACCAGCGGCGAAAGCGUGUUACUGGGUCUGCACUGACACUGAGGGACGAAAGCUAGGGGAGCGAAAGGGAUUAAAUACCCCUGUAGU